GGAGCUGAAAUCAGUCGAAGAUACCAGCUGGCUGCAACUGUUUAAUAAAAACACAGCACUGUGCAAACACGAAAGUGGACGUAUACGGUGUGACGCCUGCCCGGUGCCGGAAGGUUAAUUGAUGGGGUCAGCCGCAAGGCGAAGCUCUUGAUCGAAGCCCCGGUAAACGGCGGCCGUAACUAUAACGGUCCUAAGGUAGCGAAAUUCCUUGUCGGGUAAGUUCCGACCUGCACGAAUGGCGUAAUGAUGGCCAGGCUGUCUCCACCCGAGACUCAGUGAAAUUGAACUCGCUGUGAAGAUGCAGUGUACCCGCGGCAAGACGGAAAGACCCCGUGAACCUUUACUAUAGCUUGACACUGAACCUUGAGCCUUGAUGUGUAGGAUAGGUGGGAGGCUUUGAAGCGUGGACGCCAGUCUGCGUGGAGCCAACCUUGAAAUACCACCCUUUAAUGUUUGAUGUUCUAACGUGGACCCGUAAUCCGGGUUGCGGACAGUGUCUGGUGGGUAGUUUGACUGGGGCGGUCUCCUCCCAAAGCGUAACGGAGGAGCACGAAGGUUAGCUAAUCCUGGUCGGACAUCAGGAGGUUAGUGCAAAGGCAUAAGCUAGCUUGACUGCGAGAGUGACAGCUCGAGCAGGUGCGAAAGCAGGUCUUAGUGAUCCGGUGGUUCUGAAUGGAAGGGCCAUCGCUCAACGGAUAAAAGGUACUCCGGGGAUAACAGGCUGAUACCGCCCAAGAGUUCAUAUCGACGGCGGUGUUUGGCACCUCGAUGUCGGCUCAUCACAUCCUGGGGCUGAAGUAGGUCCCAAGGGUAUGGCUGUUCGCCAUUUAAAGUGGUACGCGAGCUGGGUUUAGAACGUCGUGAGACAGUUCGGUCCCUAUCUGCCGUGGGCGUUGGAAGAUUGAGAGGGGUUGCUCCUAGUACGAGAGGACCGGAGUGAACGCACCACUGGUGUACGGGUUGUGAUGCCAAUUGCAUUGCCCGGUAGCUAAGUGCGGAAGAGAUAACCGCUGAAAGCAUCUAAGCGGGAAACUUGCCUCGAGAUGAGUCUUCCCUGGGCACUAGAUGCCCCUGAAGGGCCGUUGAAGACGACGACGUAGAUAGGCUGGGUGUGUAAGCGUAGCGAUACGUUGAGCUAACCAGUACUAAUGACCCGAGAGGCUUAACCUUACAACACC
rnacentral:rRNA from 2 species